rnacentral:piRNA from 1 species
GACUCAGCAGGUGUAUUCCAGGGA